rnacentral:rRNA from 1 species
UACGUAGGGUGCAAGCGUUGUUCGGAAUCAUUGGGCGUAAAGCGCGUGUAGGUGGCUAGUAAAGUCGAGUGUGAAAGCCCUGAGCUCAACUCAGGAAGUGCAUUCGAAACUGGCUGGCUAGAAGAUGGUAGAGGAAGGUGGAAUUCCAAGUGUAGAGGUGAAAUUCGUAGAUAUUUGGAGGAAUACCGGCGGCGAAGGCGGCCUUCUGGGCCAUUCUUGACACUGAGACGCGAAAGCGUGGGUAGCAAACAGG